CCUACGGGUGGCAGCAGUGAGGAAUAUUGGUCAAUGGACGAGAGUCUGAACCAGCCAAGCCGCGUGAAGGAUGACUGCUCUAUGGGUUGUAAACUUCUUUUAUAUGGGAAUAAAAUGUUCCACGUGUGGGAUUUUGUAUGUACCCUAUGAAUAAGGAUCGGCUAACUCCGUGCCAGCAGCCGCGGUAAUACGGAGGAUCCUAGCGUUAUCCGGAUUUAUUGGGUUUAAAGGGAGCGUAGGUGGAUUGUUAAGUCAGUUGUGAAAGUUUGCGGCUCAACCGUAAAAUUGCAGUUGAAACUGGCAGGCUUGAGUACAGUAGAGGUGGGCGGAAUUCGUGGUGUAGCGGUGAAAUGCUUAGAUAUCACGAAGAACUCCGAUGGCGAAGGCAGUUCACUGGACUGCAACUGACACUGAGGCUCGAAAGUGUGGGUAGCAAACAGGAUUAGAUACCCCGGUAGUC
rnacentral:rRNA from 1 species